rnacentral:pre_miRNA from 1 species
UGGCCAAACUGGGGCGCUGUCUCCUUGUAUCAGUGAGUAAGUGCUCUCUAGUUCGGUUGCU